UACGUAGGGUGCGAGCGUUGUCCGGAAUUAUUGGGCGUAAAGAGCUCGUAGGCGGUGUGUCACGUCGAUCGUGAAAACUUACAGCUUAACUGUGAGCGUGCGGUCGAUACGGGCAUCACUGGAGUUCGGCAGGGGAGACUGGAAUUCCUGGUGUAGCGGUGAAAUGCGCAGAUAUCAGGAGGAACACCGGUGGCGAAGGCGGUUCUCUGGGCCGAUACUGACGCUGAGGAGCGAAAGCGUGGGGAGCGAACAGG
rnacentral:rRNA from 1 species